rnacentral:rRNA from 1 species
UACGUAGGGUGCAAGCAUUAUCCGGAGUGACUGGGCGUAAAGAGUUGCGUAGGUGGUUUGUUAAGUGAAUGGUGAAAUCUGGCGGCUCAACCGUACAGACUAUUAUUCAAACUGGCAAGCUCGAGAAUGGUAGAGGUAACUGGAAUUUCUAGUGUAGGAGUGAAAUCCGUAGAUAUUAGAAGGAACACCAAUGGCGUAGGCAGGCUACUGGACCAUUUCUGACACUGAGGCACGAAAGCGUGGGGAGCGAACCGG